CAUUGAGGCAAAAUGGCGGGUGUGCUUUACUUCUUUCCAGGUGUAUAUUACAAGGUGUAGAGAGUCGAAAUGUAAUGCUCGUUUAUUUUAUUAUUUCGACGGUAAAUGCGAAUGGGUAAUUCACAUGUUUGAAAUAUAAAAGGCUUAGCAAAUGCACAUUAAGUUGCUGUAUUUUAUAGGAUAACUAGGGUAUGGGAUGCACAAACAGCAUAGCAUAAAGUAUGGAACCUUCCAUGACGAUAGAUGAACAGUUUGAGAGGUUGAAUGCAGCUAAACAUGCGACGUCUCUGAUGAAAAAAUACCUUACUAACGAAACAUUUGAAAAACUGAAAGAUAAAAAGACAAAGUUCGGUGGAACAUUAUCACAAUGUAUCAAUUCAGGUGUGGAACAACUUGAUGUAGAAAUCGGCGUUCGGGCAACUGACCCGGAUGCCUC